AGGCAGGAGAAUUGCUUGAACCCAGGAGGCGGAGGUUGCAGUGAGCCGAGAUCGAGCCACUGUACUCCAGCCUGGGUGACAGAGCGAGACUC
ensembl:miRNA